CCUACGGGAGGCAGCAGUGGGGAAUUUUGCGCAAUGGGGGCAACCCUGACGCAGCAACGCCGCGUGAGUGAUGAAGGCCUUCGGGUCGUAAAGCUCUGUCAGAGGGGAAGAAAUGCAGGUGGUGAACAACCAUUCUGUUUGACGGUACCCUCAAAGGAAGCACCGGCUAACUCCGUGCCAGCAGCCGCGGUAAUACGGAGGGUGCGAGCGUUGUUCGGAAUUAUUGGGCGUAAAGCGCGUGUAGGCGGUUUGUUAAGUCUGAGGUGAAAGCCCCGGGCUCAACCUGGGAAGUGCAUUGGAUACUGGCAGACUUGAGUACGGGAGAGGAGAGUGGAAUUCCCGGUGUAGCGGUAAAAUGCGUAGAUAUCGGGAAGAACACCGGUGGCGAAGGCGGCUCUCUGGACCGUGAUUGACGCUGAGACGCGAAAGCGUGGGGAGCAAACAGGAUUAGAUACCCCUGUAGU
rnacentral:rRNA from 1 species